GACAUCGUGAAACACCCAAGCAGUAAGUUAUGCCAUAUCACAACGCUGUCAUUGAAGCUAAAAUGAACCCCGCUCCCAACUGUCAAACCACGUGCAGUGACCAUCUACCCAGCAUAAUCGUUAAGCAUCUCGAGGCAUAUGCUGCCCGCUCACCCCGGUGAAAGCGGUGCCAGCCAGAGCCCAGGCGAACGGCAGCAGGUACCAUGGGCUGAUACUGAUGAGGUAAAGGCAGGCGGCCAUGGCUGUGACCGAGGUGAGGACGGCGCGCCACGCCUUGCCGUGGUCCAGCUCGAAGACCUUACACAUUUAAAAACAACAGUUAUAUAAGUAACAAUAAUCAAGCCAGCAAACUGCAAACACUGCUUACCUCCGACGGCAUGCUCUUAACGAUGUCCGUCAAGGUCACAUUGUCGGGAAGCUCGCGCCCAAUCGACUUGUAUCCCAGCUCACGAGCCAAUUGCGCGCGUUCCUCAUCCGUCAACUGGUUUACUGGAACUGACAAAGCCGCCGCAUUGGUCUGCACCUGUAGGAGCAAGGCUGAGCUGAUAAGCGUGAGCCACAAAAGCCGCGUCACGGUAGUUAAGACCCACCCGGGGGCGAGCUGCAAUAGCCGGUGUGCGGAGAAG
rnacentral:lncRNA from 1 species